rnacentral:rRNA from 1 species
CCAAUAGCGUAUAUUAAAGUUGUUGCAGUUAAAAAGCUCGUAGUUGAAUUUCGGGGUUAGUAGGUUGGUCAUGCCUCUGGUAUGUACUGGUCUCACUGAUUCCUCCUUCCUGAUGAACCUUAAUGCCAUUAAUUUGGUGUUUUGGGGAAUUUGGACUGUUACUUUGAAAAAAUUAGAGUGUUUAAAGCAAGCUAACGCUUGAAUACAUUAGCAUGGAAUAAUGAAAUAGGACGUUCGAUCCUAUUUUGUUGGUUUCUAGGAUUGACGUAAUGAUUAAUAGGGAUAGUUGGGGGCAUUAGUAUUCAAUUGUCAGAGGUGAAAUUCUUGGAUUUAUUGAAGACUAACUACUGCGAAAGCAUUUGCCAAGGAUGUUUUCAUUAAUCAAGAACGAAAGUUAGGGGAUCGAAGACGAUCAGAUAUCGUCGUAGUCUUAACCAUAAACUAUGCCGACUAGGGAUCGGAUGAUGUUAAUUUUUUAAUGACUCAUUCGGCGCCUUACG